rnacentral:rRNA from 1 species
ACGUGGGCAACCUGCCCUGCAGACUGGGAUAACUCCGGGAAACCGGAGCUAAUACCGGGUAAUACAUCGCACCGCAUGGUGCAAUGUUGAAAGUUGGCUUUCGAGCUAACACUGCAGGAUGGGCCCGCGGCGCAUUAGCUAGUUGGUAAGGUAAUGGCUUACCAAGGCGACGAUGCGUAGCCGACCUGAGAGGGUGAUCGGCCACACUGGGACUGAGACACGGCCCAGACUCCUACGGGAGGCAGCAGUAGGGAAUCUUCCGCAAUGGACGAAAGUCUGACGGAGCAACGCCGCGUGAGU